AGGUAAUGGACCAAAACCUGCACUGACCUACACCUUGUGGGGCUCAAGUGAACUUACUGAGGCUGUGUGAACAAAGAAGGACGUGCUCAGAAUUCAAACUUGGACCUACUCACUUGGCGGCACCCUGCAAGGAAGUGCUACAAGCCAGGCUCCCUUGCACUCAGCUAAAUCUCUGAGGCUUGUUUAUACUGACUCGACUGAUGUGUAAGGGAGAUGGAAGAAGGGCUGAGAAAGUACUCUGAGCAGAUCUGGAUGAAUAAAGAAGUGCAGGGAGAGUGAAACCCAGCCAGAGAGCAGGGCUUGAGCUGGCUUCUUUUCCUGUCCACGUUGUAUUAGCAAUAGGCCAGCACACUUCCAAGACCAAGGCUGUCUCCUGAAUGAAAGAAAAAUAAAACUGAGAACAGGAGCACAAUGAUUAUAUUAUUCAAGCACAAAGAGUGUCAAUUUAAGGAUUAUUAAACUUGACCUGACUGGGGAAUGGCUAAGGUAUGGUAAAACAAAAAUAGAGCUGAAAAGAACACAAACUUUUUGGUAAGAAACUUACCAGUAAUGAUUUGUUUAAUUUGUUAGCUGUUUUUGGAGCACAGAAAUUUCUCCUCUUAUGAUUUUUUUUUUUGUACUGCAGUAGUGCCUAGAAGACCCAACCAAAGUUAAAGGCCUUAUUGUGUUAGGUGCUGUGUACCCCUCCGCCAAGAGGUUAUUUCUAUCCCAAAAAGCUUAUGAUCCCUAGUUAUUUCUCAAUGACCUAUGCACAGAUUUGAAAUGGACACCGGCAAGUAUAAAAAUGGAUCUCUUUUGGAAGUAAAUUUGGAAUUACGAUAUUCAUUUUUGUAUUUCUUCAAAAAAUAAGCAUUUGACUGGAAAUUGGAUAAUUUUAAUGCUACUGGAUCUAUUUUUGUGUAAAAGUCCUCAACUUUGCCUGCUUGUUCAUGCCAACUCAAAAUGCCAAGCUUGUCAGAUUUCACAGUGACUAUUUUGCACAUCCCUACACAAUAAAAUGGCUCAAGAAUAUAUGCAUGGAUUUCAAAACUACAAACUGCAUUUUAAAAGCAGACUGCAGCCCAGAUUUUCAACAUCUAUGUAAACUGAAUUGGUCCUCUGUUUUAUCUCACCCUCCUCAAUCCAAAAAUCUCUUUUGUUAUGGAUGGGUCUCUGACUAUGAUGUAGAUAGUAGUGAUUUUAAUAAAUAACGAUAAUAUGUAUGUGACUGGCUGCAGAGACUCUGGUCUGGCAAAUAAGGUGUUAAUGGCAACGCAAGUUACAGGUGUUGCUCGGAGAGACCAUAAAAUCAGCUGCCCCAGACAGGAAGGGAAAGACUGCCUAUGAGAAAGCUAUCCUGAAAAUCUUAGGGCUGUGAGUUACGGUUAAGAAACCCUGAUCUGGGGAGUAUGUUUGUGUUACUCUUUGAAGUAUUAUCUUUUUUCCCCCCUAUGACCAAGAGAUAAGAUCCUCUCUGGAAAAGGUGGGAUCUGACUGGUUCACCCUGUGGUUUUGUGCUGAGCUGUUCAAAUUUCACUCCUGAGGGCCAGCCUGGCAGACCAAGUUGCAACACACGGCACUGCAAUGCCAGGGGAAUUGGAGUCUGAGUCAAAGCUAUAUUUGGCUGAAUAUUUGGCUUUCCUAGCUCAAGAAGUCCAUUCCCUGCUAAUACACUUAAGUCCCAUUCAGAUUGUUGGGAGUUUUGUGCAGCCAUCAGCAGGAGAAUAGACCACUUAGGCCUGGUCUACACUAGGAGGUUAUGUCGAAUUUAGCAGCGUUAAAUCUAAUUAACCCUGCACCCGUCCACACAACAAAGCUAUUCAGUUCGACAUAGAGGUCUCUUUAAAUCAAUUUCUGUACUCCUCCCCGAUGAGGGGAGUAGCGCCAUGUCGAAUUAUGGUAGGUGUGGAAGGAAUUUGACACUAAUAGCUCCGGGAGCUAUCCCACAGUGCACCACUCUGUUGACGCUCUGGACAGCAGUCCGAGAUCGGAUGCUCUGACCAGCCACACAGGUAAAGC